UACAGAGGGUGCAAGCGUUUGUUCGGAAUUAUUGGGCGUAAAGCGCGUGUAGGCGGCUUUGCAAGUCUGGUGUGAAAUCCCUCGCUUAACCGAGGAAGUGCGCCAGAAGCUGCAGAGCUUGAGUACCGGAGAGGAUGGUGGAAUUCCCCAAGUAGAGGUGAAAUUCGUAGAUAUGGGGAGGAACACCGGUGGCGAAGGCGACCAUCUGGACGGAUACUGACGCUGAGACGCGAAAGCGUGGGGAGCAAACAGG
rnacentral:rRNA from 1 species